rnacentral:rRNA from 1 species
CACGUAGGGCGCGAGCGUUGUCCGGAAUUAUUGGGCGUAAAGAGCUCGUAGGCGGCCUGUUGCGUCCGCUGUGAAAGCCCGGGGCUUAACCCCGGGUCGGCAGUGGAUACGGGCAGGCUAGAGGUAGGUAGGGGAGAAUGGAAUUCCCGGUGUAGCGGUGAAAUGCGCAGAUAUCGGGAGGAACACCGGCGGCGAAGGCGGGUCUCUGGGCCGAUACUGACGCUGAGGAGCGAAAGCGUGGGGAGCGAACAGG